rnacentral:lncRNA from 1 species
AGCUCUUGCUCUUGCUCCUUUGCCUGCUUGCUGCGUGAGACUGAGUAACUGCUAGAUCCUUGGACUUCCAUUCACAGCUGCGACUGAACAAUUGUUGGGAAUUCGGCUGCCGACUAAUGAAGGCUGUGAUGAAGACUGGUUAGGAAAAGCUAGGAAGUUCAUAUAGCAACUGACUGCAUCAAAGAAGUUCUAUGAGUUUUUCAAUGAUUUUCAAUGCAAAUUUAUUUUAAAUAUCUUUAUUUUUGUAUUUGAAAUACAAAUUCCCAAACACGAGGGGCAAGGGCGACACACUUCUUCUUUUUGAGAUACGCUUCUAUUUGAAGCUUUUCAGGUGACAACAUUAAUCUUUAAAAGUCAAUAGAUGUAGAUCCUUUUCUUAUGGAUUUACAAUGCACAAGGUGGAGAUAUUUUCAACUAAGGAUGAAGCUACCGUUAUCUGGAAAGAGCACAGAGCAGGGAACUCUGCUGCUCUCUUCUGUAUGUGCUUUACAGUAAGGACAGAGGAUGUCUGCCACUGGGUAACUCACAAGGACAAAGAGAGCAGCUGUCCUACAGAUAGCUGAACCGCUAGCCUAAUGAGAACCAUUGCUAACAAGUAAGGGUCUCAAGGACAGGAAUGAAAUUCCCCACCCCGUCUUGGUCCCAUCACUGGAAAGUAAUCAAUAACUUCGAAAGGAAUUUAAACUGAUACAAUUUCCUGCCUGACUGUAACCUGCUCAGUGACAUUCCUCAGAGAGUCAUUUUAUACCUUGGCUCCAACAUUGCGAACACUCCCUCCCCUGCACAUUGUAAAGAGACUGGGCAUUCUGUAGUGUGCACUGAGAACUGACUGCAUAACCUCCAUUUCUCUAUGGAACGUCAACUCGUAAGAAUUCUGAAUCUGCUCAUUACUAAUGUCCCCGCCCCCGGAUGGUGGGAUAUCACUAAGAACAUCAUCAUACCUUCUGUCCUUUCCUAUUCCUCCCUGGGAGAAAAAUCAUGGGAUGUUCUGAACUCUCUGGCUUUAAAUAGAUACAGUUAUAGAACAGC